rnacentral:rRNA from 1 species
ACGAACGCUGGCGGCGUGCCUCAUACAUGCAAGUUGAGCGCUGAAGGUUGGUACUUGUACCCACUGGUUGAGCAGCGAACGGGUGAGUAACGCGUGGGGAAUCUGCCUUUGAGCGGGGGACAACAUUUGGAAACGAAUGCUAAUACCGCAUAAAAACUUUAAACACAAGUUUUAAGUUUGAAAGAUGCAAUUGCAUCACUCAAAGAUGAUCCCGCGUUGUAUUAGCUAGUUGGUGAGGUAAAGGCUCACCAAGGCGAUGAUACAUAGCCGACCUGAGAGGGUGAUCGGCCACAUUGGGACUGAGACACGGCCCAAACUCCUACGGGAGGCAGCAGUAGGGAAUCUUCGGCAAUGGACGAAAGUCUGACCGAGCAACGCCGCGUGAGUGAAGAAGGUUUUCGGAUCGUAAAACUCUGUUGGUAGAGAAGAACGUUGGUGAGAGUGGAAAGCUCAUCAAGUGACGGUAACUACCCAGAAAGGGACGGCUAACUACGUG